rnacentral:rRNA from 1 species
CUACGGGGGGCUCCAGUGGGGAAUAUUGCACAAUGGGCGCAAGCCUGAUGCAGCCAUGCCGCGUGUAUGAAGAAGGCCUUCGGGUUGUGAAGUACUUUCAGCGGGGAGGAAGGGAGUAAAGUUAAUACCUUUGCUCAUUGACGUUACCCGCAGAAGAAGCACCGGCUAACUCCGUGCCAGCAGCCGCGGUAAUACGGAGGGUGCAAGCGUUAAUCGGAAUUACUGGGCGUAAAGCGCACGCAGGCGGUUUGUUAAGUCAGAUGUGAAAUCCCCGGGCUCAACCUGGGAACUGCAUCUGAUACUGGCAAGCUUGAGUCUCGUAGAGGGGGGUAGAAUUCCAGGUGUAGCGGUGAAAUGCGUAGAGAUCUGGAGGAAUACCGGUGGCGAAGGCGGCCCCCUGGACGAAGACUGACGCUCAGGUGCGAAAGCGUGGGGAGCAAACAGGAUUAGAUACCCUAGUAGUC